rnacentral:rRNA from 1 species
UACGGAGGGGGCUAGCGUUGUUCGGAAUUAUUGGGCGUAAAGGGCGCGUAGGCGGCCGAAUAAGUCUGACGUGAAAUCCCCCGGCCCAACCGGGGAACUGCGUUUGAUACUGUUUGGCUCGAGUCCGGGAGAGGGUAGUGGAAUUCCCAGUGUAGCGGUGAAAUGCGUAGAUAUUGGGGGGAACACCGGUGGCGAAGGCGGCUACCUGGACCGGUACUGACGCUGAGGCGCGAAAGCUAGGGUAGCAAACGGG